rnacentral:lncRNA from 1 species
CUUAGUCUUUGUCCCUUGUGUCAGUCCACUAAGUAUAUAGGCAUGGAAGUUUACAUAUAGUUGGAUAUUCUGAAUCUAAUGUACAUGCCUUGACCAACUUAGUGUCCAUCCUCAUGGUCAGCUGACUCUUCGUAUACUCUUGAACCCACCUAAAUAUUCACUUAGUGUCCAUCCUCCUGGUCAGCCGACUCUUUGUAUACACUUGAACCCACCUAAAUAUUCAGUGAUCUCUCUAUUAGGAAUUCUUGGCAUUCUAAUUGUCAUUUAGCACUCUUAUUAGAUAGAAUGGCAGUUAACUUUUGGGCAGAUGUUACAUUUCCUCAGAAGAUCCAGUAUAUAUUGAUGUCUGUAUUGAUUUGCUGGUAACUGUACUGCCAUUGUGUAAUGACAUAUUCUUGCUAAGCAACAUUGUGUACUUUGUAGUAUCUAGUUGGUGACUGGAUUGGCAUUAUGGUAUAUAGCAGACAACUUACAGUAGUGAAGAAAGGCCAAAGAUUGUGUUACUUCAGAAUUUUUGGGUCAGAUGACCUAUUUCCUUAUGUAUGGUCAUGGGCAAUACUUAAUUUAGCCCAAAAAGGUCCUUGCCGAGGGCCUGUGCGCCUCCGGGAUUAGUCGGGUCUCUUAGAGACUCUGACACCCGGUGCAAAUUAAUUUUUUUUUUAAUAAAUUCAUCAAAGGUAUUCUUGAUUAUAAUUCUCUGGUGCCGCAGCGAAACUAGUUUUCACUUAAAGGAAGGAGUUCAAAUAACUAGAUCAUGCUGAAGUGUCUUUAAAGGGAACCUUGUUUCUGCAUGCAAUACUAGACCGUGUUUUAACUGAGGGCAUCACCAGGACAUUGUAUGUUUCCUGAUACAUGCAGGGCUCGUUGCACUACAGACUUAUUUUAUGCUGCAGUACUCUGUGCAUUGUUUACGUGAUCCGUUGAAUCGGUUACAUAUUUUCAUUACUUUAUUUAAUCAGUUAUAUUCUUCAGACAUCUGUAAUAUUUGUCUUUAUUUCUGUCACUUGUUGUGUUUAAGACCUGUUCACCUAGCUAUUUGAAAUUAGUUCAGUUUAAUUCUUCUUUAUGUCAAGCAUAGAGUGGGUGAUAUGUCUAUUAUAGGUAUGUGCUUUAUCUUUGUACUAAUAUUUUAUUAAG